GAGUAUUAUGAAGUUUAAAUAAAUUAAAUGACAAAAAAUUAAAUCGAUGCCCAUGUACCAUGAAAGAGAGUUUAAUAUACAUUAAUACAAAUGUAGAAUGUGUUUACAAAUUUUAAAACAACACUAAAGAUCAUAGGCUUCAUUAUAUAGAACAUUUACCAAAAAAUCAAUAUUUUCGUAAGGGUUAACACAUAUAUUUUGAUAAAAAAUCAAAAAUAUGAAAUUACUGUUCUAAUGCAUAGAUGGAUCCUUCACUAGCAUAUGAUGAAGAUCAAAGUGGUUUGGAACCUUUGUUGUCUCCGUUUCUCUAGAGAAUAGCGAUUUUAUCGUGGUUAGUCCACCAAUUUAGGAAGUAUUAUGAAGUUUUACUAAAUUAAUUGACAAAAAAUUAAAACGAUGCUCAUGAACCAUGAAAUAGAGUUUAAUAUACAUUAAUAAAAAUGAAAAAUGUGUUUAGAAAUUUUAAAA